rnacentral:rRNA from 1 species
GGAUCAUUGAAGAGUUGCAAGACUCCAACCAUCGCGAACAUUUACAACGUUGCCUCGGCGGGCGGCUCCAGGGCGGAGCCUCCGGCCCCCUUCGGGGGGUGUCCGCCGUAAGGCCCCAAACACUACUGAAGCCAGGCUACUCUGAGUAUAUGGAUACACUUAAAACUUUCAACAAUGGAUCUCUUGGCUCUGGCAUCGAUGAAGAACGCAGCGAAAUGCGAUAAGUAAUGCGAAUUGCAGAAUCCAGCGAGUCAUCGAAUCUUUGAACGCACAUUGCGCCCGCUAGUAUUCUAGCGGGCAUGCCUGUCCGAGCGUCACUCAUAACCGUCGAGCCUAGCUCGUGUUGGGGCACUACGUCCUCGUAGGCCCUGAAAUCUAGUGGCGGGAUCGCCCCCGCGCCGAGUUUAGAACACCACUAGCUGCGGCGCGCCGGCGGCCUCUGCUUCAGCGUUUUAGCUAGAUGACCUCGGAUCAGGUAGGAAUACCCGCUGAACUUAAGCAUAUCAAUAAGCGGAGGAAAAGAAACCAACAGGGAUUGCCUCAGUAACGGCGAGUGAAGCGGCAAUAGCUCAAAUUUGAAAUCUGGCCCCCGGGCCCGAGUUGUAAUUUGCAGAGGAUGCUUCGGGCGAGGCGCCUUCCGAGUCCCCUGGAAUGGGGCGCCGGAGAGGGUGAGAGCCCCGUACGGUUGGACGCCGAGCCCGCGUGAAGCUCCUUCGACGAGUCGAGUAGUUUGGGAAUGCUGCUCAAAAUGGGAGGUAAAUGCCUUCUAAAGCUAAAUACCGGCCAGAGACCGAUAGCGUACAAGUAGAGUGAUCGAAAGAUGAAAAGCACUUUGGAAAGAGGGUUAAACAGCACGUGAAAUUGUUGAAAGGGAAGCGCCCGUGACCAGACUCGGGCGUGGCGGAUCACCCGGCGUGCUCGCCGGUGCACUCCGCUGCGCCUGGGCCAGCACCGGCUCCAGCGGGGGGAUAAAGGGCUGGGAAAUGUGGCUCCCUCGGGAGAAUGAUAGUCCCAUCCGGCAUGCCCCCGCCAGGGUCGGGACCGCG